rnacentral:rRNA from 1 species
ACAACGAGUCGCAAGACCGCGAGGUUUAGCAAAUUUCUUAAAGCCGUUCUCAGUUCGGAUUGUAGGCUGCAACUCGCCUACAUGAAGUCGGAAUCGCUAGUAAUCGCGGAUCAGCAUGCCGCGGUGAAUACGUUCCCGGGCCUUGUACACACCGCCCGUCACACCAUGAGAGUUUGUAACACCCAAAGCCGGUGGGGUAACCUUUUGGAGCCAGCCGUCUAAGGUGGGACAGAUGAUUGGGGUGAAGUCGUAACAAGGUACC